rnacentral:rRNA from 1 species
UACAGAGGGUGCAAGCGUUAAUCGGAGUUACUGGGCGUAAAGCGUGCGUAGGCUGAUAUUUAAGUCGGAUGUGAAAUCCCCGGGCUUAACCUGGGAAUUGCAUUCGAUACUGGAUGUCUAGAGUGUGAUAGAGGAAAGCGGAAUUCCCGGUGUAGCAGUGAAAUGCGUAGAUAUCGGGAAGAACACCAGUGGCGAAGGCGGCUUUCUAAGUCAAUACUGACGCUGAGGUACGAAAGCGUGGGGAGCAAACAGGAUUAGAUACCCUCGUA